GUGGAUUAGAUACCCUAGUAGUCCUAGCCGUAAACGAUGGGCACUUGGUGUCGGGGGUAUUGAGUCCCUCGGUGCCGGAGUUAACACGUUAAGUGCCCCGCCUGGGGAGUACGGUCGCAAGACUGAAACUCAAAGGAAUUGACGGGGGCCCGCACAAGCGGUGGAGCAUGUGGUUCAAUUCGACGCAACGCGAAGAACCUUACCGGGGCUCGAACGGUAACUGAAAACCCUUGAAAGGGGGCUUUCUCUUCGGAGACGGUUAUCGAGGUGCUGCACGGCCGUCGACAGCU
rnacentral:rRNA from 1 species